UGGCGAUGAGGAAAGAGAUCCGUGUGCCGGAGGCGUCCGCCGGUGUCGGUUGCACAAAUCCUCUAAGAAGUUCUGAGCCA